CACGUAGGGCGCAAGCGUUGUCCGGAAUUAUUGGGCGUAAAGAGCUCGUAGGUGGUCUGUUGCGUCCGCUGUGAAAACUCGGGGCUUAACCCCGAGCCUGCAGUGGAUACGGGCAGACUAGAGGUAGGUAGGGGAGAAUGGAAUUCCCGGUGUAGCGGUGAAAUGCGCAGAUAUCAGGAGGAACACCGGUGGCGAAGGCGGUUCUCUGGGCCUGACCUGACGCUGAGGAGCGAAAGCGUGGGGAGCGAACAGG
rnacentral:rRNA from 1 species